GACGAACGCUGGCGGCGUGCUUAACACAUGCAAGUCGAACGGAAAGGCCCUGCUUUUGUGGGGUGCUCGAGUGGCGAACGGGUGAGUAACACGUGAGUAACCUGCCCUUGACUUUGGGAUAACUUCAGGAAACUGGGGCUAAUACCGGAUAGGAGCUCCUGCUGCAGGGAGGGGGUUGGAAAGUUUCGGCGGUUGGGGAUGGACUCGCGGCUUAUCAGCUUGUUGGUGGGGUAGUGGCUUACCAAGGCUUUGGCGGGUAGCCGGCCUGGGAGGGUGACCGGCCACAAUGGGACUGCGAUACGGAGCAGACGCCUACGGGAGGCAGUAGUGGGGAAUAUUGCACAAUGGGCGGAAGCCUGAUGCAGCAACGCCGCGGGCGGGAUGACGGCCUUCUGGUGGUAAACCGUUUUCGCCUGUGACGAAGCGUGAGUGACGGUAAUGGGUAAAGAAGCACCGGCUAACUACGUG
rnacentral:rRNA from 1 species